rnacentral:rRNA from 1 species
UACCAGCACCCCGAGUGGUCGGGACGUUUAUUGGGCCUAAAGCAUCCGUAGCCGGUUCUACAAGUCUUCCGUUAAAUCCACCUGCUUAACAGAUGGGCUGCGGAAGAUACUAUGGAGCUAGGAGGCGGGAGAGGCAAGCGGUACUCGAUGGGUAGGGGUAAAAUCCGUUGAUCCAUUGAAGACCACCAGUGGCGAAGGCGGCUUGCCAGAACGCGCUCGACGGUGAGGGAUGAAAGCUGGGGGAGCAAACGGG